rnacentral:rRNA from 1 species
GGAAAGGCGCGCGAUACAGGGUGACAGCCCCGUACACAAAAAUGCACAUGCUGUGAGCUCGAUGAGUAGGGCGGGACACGUGGUAUCCUGUCUGAAUAUGGGGGGACCAUCCUCCAAGGCUAAAUACUCCUGACUGACCGAUAGUGAACCAGUACCGUGAGGGAAAGGCGAAAAGAACCCCGGCGAGGGGAGUGAAAAAGAACCUGAAACCGUGUACGUACAAGCAGUGGGAGCACGCUUAGGCGUGUGACUGCGUACCUUUUGUAUAAUGGGUCAGCGACUUAUAUUCUGUAGCAAGGUUAACCGAAUAGGGGAGCCGAAGGGAAACCGAGUCUUAACUGGGCGUUAAGUUGCAGGGUAUAGACCCGAAACCCGGUGAUCUAGCCAUGGGCAGGUUGAAGGUUGGGUAACACUAACUGGAGGACCGAACCGACUAAUGUUGAAAAAUUAGCGGAUGACUUGUGGCUGGGGGUGAAAGGCCAAUCAAACCGGGAGAUAGCUGGUUCUCCCCGAAAGCUAUUUAGGUAGCGCCUCGUGAAUUCAUCUCCGGGGGUAGAGCACUGUUUCGGCAAGGGGGUCAUCCCGACUUACCAACCCGAUGCAAACUGCGAAUACCGGAGAAUGUUAUCACGGGAGACACACGGCGGGUGCUAACGUCCGUCGUGAAGAGGGAAACAACCCAGACCGCCAGCUAAGGUCCCAAAGUCAUGGUUAAGUGGGAAACGAUGUGGGAAGGCCCAGACAGCCAGGAUGUUGGCUUAGAAGCAGCCAUCAUUUAAAGAAAGCGUAAUAGCUCACUGGUCGAGUCGGCCUGCGCGGAAGAUGUAACGGGGCUAAACCAUGCACCGAAGCUGCGGCAGCGACGCUGAUGCGUUGUUGGGUAGGGGAGCGUUCUGUAAGCCUGCGAAGGUGUGCUGUGAGGCAUGCUGGAGGUAUCAGAAGUGCGAAUGCUGACAUAAGUAACGAUAAAGCGGGUGAAAAGCCCGCUCGCCGGAAGACCAAGGGUUCCUGUCCAACGUUAAUCGGGGCAGGGUGAGUCGACCCCUAAGGCGAGGCCGAAAGGCGUAGUCGAUGGGAAACAGGUUAAUAUUCCUGUACUUGGUGUUACUGCGAAGGGGGGACGGAGAAGGCUAUGUUGGCCGGGCGACGGUUGUCCCGGUUUAAGCGUGUAGGCUGGUUUUCCAGGCAAAUCCGGAAAAUCAAGGCUGAGGCGUGAUGACGAGGCACUGCGGUGCUGAAGCAACAAAUGCCCUGCUUCCAGGAAAAGCCUCUAA